GUGAGUCAUCGAAUCUUUGAACGCAUAUUGCGCUCUUUGGUAUUCCGAAGAGCAUGCUUGUUUGAGUAUCAGUAAACACCUCAACCUCUCUUUUUUGAUAAAAAAAAGGGAGGGUGGACUUGAGCUAUCCCAACGACCUUCACCGGUAGGCGGGCGGCUUGAAAUGCAGGUGCAGCUGGACUUUUAUCUGAGCUAAAAGCAUAUCUAUUUAGUCCUCGUCAAACAGGAUUAUUACUUUUGCUGCAGCUAACAUAAAGGAUAAUUGUCCUCUUUGCUGACUGAUGCAGGAUUUUACGACAC
rnacentral:misc_RNA from 1 species